AAAAAAUCGCUGUCUAGAUAAUAUUCAUCAAUUUUAGCUUUCAAUACCAUGUUUUGGAUUUUUCUUUUGUGAGUAUUGAUGUCUUCAUUGUUUUAAUAUAUUUUUUUUAAGAUUUUAUAUAUUUAUUCAUUAGGGACACAGAGAGAGAGGCAGAGACACAGGCAGAGGGAGAAGCAGUUUCCCUGCCGGGACUUGAUACCAGGACCCGGGAUCACGACCUGAGCCGAAGACAGAGGCUCAAACAAUUAGCCACUCAGGCAUUGCCGUUUUUAACAUCUGAUAGAGAAAGAGAAACACUUCAGGGAUAUGGAGAUGGAAGUAUAAUACAGAAGACUGAGCCUCUGACAUGUUAUGGAAUAGAGCUGCCUUUCGUGUUUGGACUUGGACAAGAAAGAGAAAUUUUAUCUUGUUCGAGUUGUUAUUUCAGGUGUCUGCUACAAGCAUCCAAAUGAAUACCCAAUAUAUACAUCAAAGCUUAAAGAGUUCAUAUAAUGUACACAUUAAGAGAAAAGAGAAGUGA
rnacentral:lncRNA from 1 species